GCUUACGGUCACACCACCCUGAAAAUGCCCGAUCUCGUCUGGUCUCACAGGCUAAGCAGGGUCAGGCUCGGUUAGUAGUUGGAUGGGAUACUGUUUUAAAGUAAUUUCCAUAAAGUACAGUAAAAC
rnacentral:rRNA from 14 species